CUACGGGGGGCACCAGUCGAGAAUCUUUUGCAAUGGGCGAAGGCCUGACAAUGCGACGCCGCGUGAGCGAUGAAGGUCUUCGGAUUGUAAAGCUCUGUUGCAGGGGAUGAAACUAUUUGGCACGAAUAGUGUCAAGUAUUGACAGUACCUUGAGAGGAAGCCACGGCUAACUCCGUGCCAGCAGCCGCGGUAAUACGGAGGUGGCAAGCGUUGUUCGGAUUGAUUGGGUGUAAAGGGCAUGUAGGCGUCCUGAUAAGUCGAACGUGAAAUCCCGUAGCUCAACUACGGAACUGCAUUCGAACUGUCGGGAUUGAGUAUGGAAGGGGAGAAUGGAAUUCCCGGUGUAAGAGUGAAAUCUGUAGAUAUCGGGAGGAACACCAGUAGCGAAGGCGAUUCUCUGGUCCGAUACUGACGCUGAAAUGCGAAAGCUAGGGGAGCAAACAGGAUUAGAUACCCUGGUAGUC
rnacentral:rRNA from 1 species